rnacentral:rRNA from 1 species
CCUACAGGAGGCAGCAGUGGGGAAUAGUGGGCAAUGGGCGCAAGCCUGACCCAGCAACGCCGCGUGAAGGAAGAAGGCUGUCGGGUUGUAAACUUCUUGUCUGAGGGACGAAGAAAGUGACGGUACCUCAGGAAUAAGCCACGGCUAACUACGUGCCAGCAGCCGCGGUAAUACGUAGGUUGCAAGCGUUAGCCGGAUUUCUUGGGUGUAAAGGGCGUGUAGGCGGGAAAGCAAGUCAGAGGGGAAAACUCAGGGCUCAACCCGGAGCCUGCAUUUGAAACGGUUUUUCUUGAGUGCUGGAGAGUCAAUCGCACUUCCGUGUGUAGCGGUGACAUGCGUAGAUAUCCG